CUUAUCUAAAAAUGUGAAUCAAUUAGAAUUCAAAUUUGAAAUCUCAGGUACUAACCACUAAGGCUUAGUUUGAUAUUGAAGUCUAUUAAACGCUAUUAGAUAAAAUGGAGUUGAUGAAAAUGUAUCGUAACCGAUUCAUCACGAUAUGUGGAACGCAAUAUUACGUACGGAAACAGACAAGAUAUUUUUUCAACGUACUUUUUCACCGCACGUAACACAAUCUUCCCGCAUUCCCAAACGAAACCUAAGUUCUUUACCACUUGCGCUAGGGACGGUUGGUUCAAAGAAUAUACUCAAUAUUAGGGGUAUUGAGUAGUGGUUUCCCUGCAAUUCCACGGUCUUCUAUCGACCAUUCAAAACGUAGAAUCUGAGAGGCCUUAAAUUAAAAUUUCAAACUAGUAAAUGUGAUUUGAAAUUUGGACCGGAACUGGGCCCGGGCCUAAACAACACCUCUCCCGAUAGGUCGUGUAAGUGCUGGACUUUGGAUAUUCGAAUAAUAACUUCGGGUUUGGGUCGAGUUUAAAAUUUAGGCCUAAAAAAAUUUCGGACUUAAAUUUGGACAUGUCCAAGCCCAGCUCUGGUCCGACCCAAAAGCUUGAUAUAUUAUUUACUAUUACCAACUAACUAGAUAUAUUUAGAUAAAUAUAUAUAUUUAUCUAUACAAAGAACUAAAAAUAUAUACUAUAUUAUAUAAGUUAAACUUCAAAUACCACCCCUGUAUUUUUGCGCUUUCUCACUUUAAUACCGUGUGGUUUAAAGUGUAUCAUUUUAGUAUCCAGUGAUUUCAUUUUUUUUUCUUCCCGUCAGUACUUCUGUUAACUCUCUAUUAAAUUAUAUACGAAAAACUUCAGAUAUCUCAUCUAUAGUUUAUCGAAUAUUUACUUUAGUACCCUGUGGUUUACCGAAUUUUUACUUUAGUGCUCUGUAUUUUUAACUUUGUCAUUGAUUUAAUGAAAAAAAUUAAUGUAAGAAAUAACUGAAAGAAACAAUUGAAAUCAUAGGAUACUAAAGUGAUACAAUAUUUUAAACUAUAAGGGACUAAAUUAAUGAUGUGGUCCAAUUUUCCCCUAUAUAUAUAGAGAGAAAAAAAGAGACAAGUCUAAACAUGUGACACCCCAAAAAUUCCAUAUCACUGAAAAAGGAAUUAUAAUUAGAAAUAUACAGUCCAAAAAUUUUAAUACUAAUAAUUACACUUAAUUAUUUUGGGUUAUUGAUUUGGAUCCAAAUUGUUAUUAGUAUUAAUAGGCUGAGUCGAAUUUUGAAUUGUCGAACCGAACCAACUAAUUUCGAUUUUAACAAUUCAAUUUGGCGUUUCUUUCUAGUUUUAAAUCUUUAAAUGGAAUCGAACUGAAAGAAUCGAUGCUCCUCACUCCUAACAACUCACAAAGGAGAGGGAUAUACAGUGCUCACCAAUAUGUUACAUAUAUAAAAACAAUUAUUAAGUUUUUGAAACACAACAGAUGUCUUUCAUAUAUUUAACAUAGAAUCGGAGAAAGAGGUUCUGAAUUCAAGUCAUGUCAGGCUCGUCAUAUAAUUGAUUUUCUCCUAUUUAAUUCAAGUUUACUUAUCACGAAUUUAUCAAAAAUUUUCAAACUCAUAUGCAAAGGGAAGUGUUGAAUAUAAAAAUAUAAAAAUAUUGUUCUCCACCAACUUAAAUUUUUAUAGAACAACGAUUAUUUUCAGAUAUUUAAUGCAAUGGUGAUGUAAAAUUGUUUAUAAUAAGUGUUUCGCUUUAAGAUUAGUGGUGGACACUGAGACAUGAAAGGAACAUAGAAGGUAGGAAUAGUUCCUCCACAAACCAAGCAAGGCUAAGAAUAAAAGUGAAAAAUAGAAUAACUCUUCACAAUUUGAUUCUUGAUGUUUCGUGAAUAUAUAAUAACGAACUUGUAGAUAUCAAAGCAGAAGUUUCCAUUUGAAAAUUUCUCCUAAACUACUGUUUCUACUAUAGCAAAAAUUAGGCUGCUAAUAAAAUAUUAAUUAAAAAGUUAUUAAUGCUUCUUUAUACAGUCAUACGCAAGUGACACUACCACAUAGGCUACAACAAAUCGAAUAAGCUCAAAAAAAAAAAGAGAAAAAAGAUAUGACACGACGAAUUCAUCGUGCGGUUUCUCUUCGAAAUUGAAAGUAAUUUCAUUAUAUGUUUUUUGUUCUUCAUUGUAAGGAGAGGAUGAGUUGUUUGAUAUUUCUCUAUGAGUGGGUUACAAUUGCAAGAACUAUGGUAUAGAAAUGUAGACAUGUUAAGUACAUUUCGAAGAAGUUACACGAUUGAACUGAUGUAAGAAGAAGGAUUAGGCAGAACAGGGACUGCGACCGCGCCCUCGAGCAUCUGAGCCACCUUCCGCAUUGACGGCCUCAGCGACGGCUCCUCCAGAAUGCACCAGAUGGCUACCGUUACAAAUCUCUCCACUCUCGUCACAUCGAUCAUCGCCUCCUCGUUGCCGUCCACCAGGAGGUCCAAUCUGCCAUUCCUAAAGCAAUCGUGAGCCCAAUACGCAAGCACUGCUGCCUCCUCGGUCGCCGCCUCCGUUUGAACAUUCUUUCUGCAACAUAUGAUCUCCAGCAACAAUACGCCGAAGCUGUACACGUCAACCUUCGCGGUGACCGCCGAGUUCUUGAACCACUCGGGCGCGACGUACCCUUUGGUUCCUCUGAUGGCCGUGUUGGUCCGAGUCUGGUCGGCGCGAAGGAGCUUCGCGAGCCCGAAGUCUGAUAUCUUGGGGAUGAAAUCAUCGUUGAGCAGUAUGUUCUGAGACUUUAUGUCGCAAUGAAUGAUCUGAGUAGUACAAUCCUCAUGCAAGUAUGAAAGACCUCUUGCGAUCCCCAUUAUUAUUUGGGCCCUUUUGUUCCACUCGAGCCGAGUGCUUCCAAAAAGAAAGCUUGUUAGCGAGCCAUUGCUCAUGUACUCGUAUACCAGCAUUCGAUGGUUCCCCUCGUUGCAGAAUCCGAGUAGCUUGACUAGAUUUUUGUGAUGGGUUUGUGCGAUCGACCUCACCUCAUUCGUGAACUCCUGCUCGGAUUCCUUGGCCGCCGCUCGAUCCAGCUUCUUCACGGCAAUGGCCAUGUGGAAUCCCGCGGCUAAGGCCCCUUUGUAUACUAUGCCGAAGCCUCCGCUGCCGAGCUCUUCUCGAAAGUUGUCGGUGGCUUCUUCCAAUUCUUUGUAUGUGAAGACUCUUAGGUUUGACCCCAACAUGGUCUGCUCUAUUUGAUUCUUGUUAUCUUUUGUGCGGUUGCAGAAGGAGAAGGAGACGAUAGGGGCAGCGAUCAUGAUGAGAAUGUUGAGAAAUCCGGAGCUACCGAGGAGGACGGAGAUGACGAGGAUUAGUGUGCUCCGAUCUUUCUUCUCCGUAGUUAUCGUAUUCGGCGAUCCGUGGGUAGGUAAGGAAGUAUUGGUUUUGGGCACUUUGAUAAGAGCCUUCCCCCCUACUCUCAUCCCUUGCCCACCGUUGGUUAACGGCAUCUUUAUCUUCCAACAGUCCAACCCCCGAAAGACCGCCGCACUACACAUGCAAUCGGCUAGGCAUAAUGCUCGACAGGUGUCUUCGUCGGUCGGUGUGUAGUGCGCAUAGCUAUUGCCCGGCCAAUCCGUGGUUGGCAUCUCAUUGAACAUGUACUGGUUGCUCUGGUACUCGUCGUAGCUCUGCACAGUGAAAUCUGGUAUGCAGCCUAAGUACGUACGAUUUGUAUCGAUGAACUUGUAUCCUAACACGCACUUACAAUUGAGCCGCACUGACUGAUCGUCGUCGAAGUUGCAGUAUGCAUUGAACCCGCAGGCGCCACCGCCAUCGUCAGCCUGGAUCGUUUGGCAAGGGUUGGCAGGAAACAUUCCGACGACAGUCCAUGUGUUGGUUAACCCGCUAUUAUUGUUGUUGUUUUUGGGGUAGACAUAAAGGCGUAAGGCGCCAUCUGGAUCCAAUGUGGCACGUUCGUAGUAAUCGGUAGGAGUAUAUGGAAGCUGAGGUGAAGGGGGUCUGGUUGCCGUUCUCGACCUGGUAAUAGAGCGAGCCAGAUGAGUUGAAGAUGAGUUGUAAUGUUUUGUUGUAUUGGGUAUUGGAGGCCCAAUAGGCAUGGUACACGUUGCCGGUGGGAAUAGCGAUCGGGUAUAAGACCAAAUUGCCAUCGCUCUGGACUGCUAGCUUGAAUCGGCCCGCGGAGAAGUCCGAGCUGGUCAAUUUGGAUUGAAGUUCUGAGUUCUCGGCCAAGGUCUGACUGGGGAGGAUCGUGUCAGUUGGAUUUUGAAAACUUUGCCACGGAAGGUCUCCGCUACUAUCAUAGAGAAUGAGAUUCCCGGAGUCGAGGAGACUAACGCCGAUCGCAUUAGCUGCGUUUAGGCUCCAGAUUUCCUGACCGUUCGAGUCGAAAAGUGAGAGCUGGCCAGCCUGGGUGAGUUGGAGGGUCGACUUUGCAGGCACCUGCACCGGAUUGGUGUUGUUGGUGGCGAACCAAACGACGGCUUGCGGUGAGGUGGCAUUGAACCACACGGCGAGAAGAAAGAGGGAGGAGUUGGCAUCGAGAGGCCAGAAGCCGAACGCAAAGUCACCAGACAGAGAGGAAAGGGAGGAGUUGGGCCCCGACGAGCUGAGACUGGAGCCCACAGUCAGGUUCUGAUAAGAUCCUGCCGCGACUAAUGAGAGCCCUCGGCCGAGAAGGAGGAGGAGGAGGAGGAGGAGGAAUAGAAGAGAAGGGUUUGUUGCAUCCAUAACCAUGUUUAGUGGUGGUGGUGGUGGUGGUGGUGACGGUGAUCUAGCGUGUUGGAAAGAUAUUAUAGAGGACUAAACCAAUUGUUGACCGUUGGCAAUUGGCAUUGACUUCUGGGAAGGCAUUGACUUGGUGAACAACUAUAGCGUGUUGGAAAGAUAUUAUAAAAUAUUUUAUGAGACUUUAAAAUAUAAAAAAAAUUAUUUUAUUUCACUUUUAAUUUUAAUAAUAAUUAAGCAUGGGGAUGGAAGAAUAGGAUGCAUUUAUUUUCAUUUUUAUUGGCUUUUUUUACAUAAUUUUUAUAUUUUAAAUUUUUAUAAGAUUAUGUGUAAGAUAUUUAAUCGGAAUGGUUGUGUGUAAUAAUUAGUAACUUUAAUUGAGGAGAAGUGUUUAAUAUUGAAUUAUUUGAUAAAAUUUAGGGUAUGUAAUUAUCAAAAUUAAAAGUUCUGAUGCUAGUUUAUAAAAAGCUAAAGUUUCACGGGUGUUGCUGCAUUUUUCCCUUACGUUACAUUUAAGGCUCACAUGUGGAGAAAUUAUUGUGCGCUAAAUUUUAAUUAAAAAAUGUAAUUAUUAAAAAUAAUUAAAUAUAAUUUUGGCAUGUGGACAAAUUAUUGCCACGUAAAGAAAUACUAUCUCAUUAAUAAAAAAUAAAUAUCAUUAUUAAAUAUAAUUAAAUGAUAUUAACUAUAAUAAGGAAAAUCGUAAGGGCACUAUCCACUAUAUAUGUUGAUUCUUCUCAAGCUAAAGUUGCAGUUUUUAAUUCGAACAUUUUAAAUUAUUAUAAUUAAAUUUCACAAUUUAAUUUAGUCGAUUAAAUAUUGAUAUAUUAUUGAAAUAAAAAAUAAUUUAUAUGAAAUAAAUAUAGAUCCCAUUUUUUCUAUAAAAUAAAUCAAAUAAAUUUGAAUAAAUAAAUAGAUAUCAACUAAAAUAUUGGUCCCUCUCCUUCUCACUCGGAUUUCUCUCUUUUUCUCCUCUUGCAUUAAUUACUCUUUCUUUUGGUCUCUCCUCUCUCUCUCUCUCUCUCUCUCUCUCCUUUUUAAUUUUCUUUUUUACUUCUGUUGCAUUAAUUAGUCUUUUUAUUGGUCUCUCUCCUUCUCUCUCUUCUCUCUAAUUUUCUCCUCUCUCUUAAUUUCUCCAUUCAUUCAUUGUUACAAUUUUGUACUAACACUUUAGUACAAAUAUUGUUACAUUUAUAUUAAAGAGUACAAUAUAGGUAUAAAUAGUGUAAUAUGGAGAGCUAGGCUACUAUACUAUCUAUAGUAUCGAGUUCCGGUACUAUAGUGUUGGUUUUCGAUCUUAGGGCGUUCAAAUCAACGAUCCACACCGUUAAAACUGAUCUAGGGUAUUUAAAGUUUUUAGAAAUAAAAUUUUAUAUUUUUUCGACAUAGUUUACUUUAUGAUCAAACUANAAAAAUCAAAAAAAGCUAUAGCAAAUGAACCAUUUAUUUAAUAUAGUUUUACCUGCCACUUUUAACUUAUUAGAAAUUUUAAACUUAUAUCCUGAAAAUUUAAGUUCUAGUUCUUACAAUUGGAACUAGAUAUAUCAAAUUUCAUAAAAGAUAGUUUUAAACUUCUUUAAAUCUAAGAAGAUGUGGCAAUUUGAGGUUUGAGCAGUAUUAUCGGUAACUUUUUUAUUCCUAAGAAAUUCAUAUACCCCAGAUCAUAUUUAACGGUGCAGAUCGUUGAUUUGAACGCCCUAAGAUCGAAAAAAAAUACUAUAGUACCGGAGCUCGGUACUAUAGAUAGUAUAGUAGCCUAAUUCUAAUAUGGGUAUAAUAGUAUAAUAGCAUAAUAGAUUUUUUUUCCUUUUUUUUUAAAUUUUAAGUUAUGCAACAUAUUUCUUCUUAUUCUUUUAUUCUUUCUUCUUCAUUUUUUUUUUUUGUUUUUUUUUGGUGUCCUUUUGUUGUUCUUCGCCACCACUACCAAGCUCGAGAAAAAGACGAGACCGUCUAUGAUGACAGUGUAGGAAACGAUGGUGCAACAAGGCAUUUCGUCGAACAGGGUACGUGCGGUAUUGUUUGUUACACUCCGGUAACUUGUCUCGUCCAUCUCAUACUUUUAAUUUAACUGUCAAAAUUUUAAAUAUAAAAUAGCUGUUAAAUAUCCAAUGCUAUAUAUUAAAAUAUAUUUGAAGAUUUAACUGUCAAAAUUUUUUUUUAAUAUUUCUUAAAAUAGCUGUACACGAAUGACACAAACAAGCUCUAGCAAAUUAAAUAAGGUCAUAGAAAGAUAUGAAGUUGCAAAAUGAUAAAUAUUUGUGUUUUUCACUUUUCUUUUAGUUAGAUAUCAAAAAUAAAAUAAUAACAACAAUAAAAGCUAAGAGAGAGAAACAGAAGAAAAUGUUGUGCUCAAAUGCUCAAGUGCAACCCUAAAUAGUUAUACUGUGAAAUCUUUCGAUUGCGAAAGAAUACAAAAGAAAUUCUUGCUCUGAUACCAGACUAAAUUAUAUAGCUUAAGCCAUCGAGGAAUAAUAUUGUUAAUAUUCUUUAUUCAACAUGGAUUUUCCUUCAUAUCCGGGCUCAAAAUUUUUUAAUAGGUUCAAAAUGUGAAUUUGUUUACAUUAAAUUGUUUAUUAUUUUAUGUUCAACACUACUCUCCAUCACAUCUGGCCGGUUUGUGGAACAACUGCUGUUUUUCAAAAGUUUAAGCUAUCAGAGAAUGAUAGUUUUAAUAUUUUAUAUUCAACAACGAUCACUCCGUAGAACUUGAAUUGGAUGAGUGAAUGCUAUACAAUCAGAUCUAAAUUUGAUCCAAAUUGAAGAUAUUAGGUCGAAUUUGGAGCAAAAUGAAUAAUGUUGAGUCUAACUUUCGAUUCGAAUUCAAACUUGCUAAGACAUGAAUUCAAAAGUUCGAAGACCAAAAUUUGAUUGAUAGACUAUUAUUUGAUUCCUUUCGACUAUGGUUCGAUUGGAUUAAUCAACUAUCCCCGAAUCGACCCGUUGAUCAAAAAACUAGCGCUCUUAUUACUUUUAUUGGAAAAAUAUUUUCCAAUAAUAAAUAAUGAAGCCAAGAAAGUAAAUAAGAAUGGAAAAGCAAACCAAGAGAGAAACAGAGAGAAGACAAAAAUGUAUAAAAAAAAGAGAAAAUUUGACGCGAUCCUUCAUAGAUCAUAUUAUUCUGGCAAGCAAAGCUAUUUGACCAGCUACUAUAUAAAUAUAAAUCCUUCAGUUUUUUAAAGGCUCAUAUUUAUUCACUUAUCUCAUCAAUCUUUUUUUCUAAUACUAAAUUCUCAAAAAAAAUUUAAAAUUUAAAAUUUUUAAACAAUUUCCAUUAUGGUGUUCAAUUUGCUUUUUUUUUUUAUUUAAUUUAUUUAGACCUUUACUUGGCCUGUUUAAUUGAUGGGUCAAGUUUAACAUGAUGUCCUUUCAUGUUUUGGAGGGUCACAUUAUCAUAUGUGACAAAAGAGGAAUCUAAAUGUAACCUACUUGUUAAGUUAAAAAGAAAAAAAAAAGAAAAAAAAAAAGCAUGGAGUGUACUUGUUUAACUAUUAUUCUAGGAGGGCUCUUCCAAACUUGAAACCUUAUUGGGGAGUUCCAAGUUUUUGUAAUCUUUGUUUAUGCCCACUAUGUUUUAGUUCACAUCCUCACAAGCUCCACCUAUGCUUUGUUUCCAUAUAGGGCUAAUUAAUGAACUCUUGGUUGGUGCCAAGGGGUGCAUUAAUUGUGACUAUUUAUAUCAUAUAUGUGCUUAUAUUUUUAAGUCUAAAUUAUCCUUUUGGUCUUACUUAUCCUUUUGGUCCUCAAAUUGUGAAGCGUGUGACAUCUUAGUUCUUAAAUUUUAAUUUCUUAUAAUUUUGUAUUCGCAGCUUUUAAAUUAUUAUAAUUAAGUCUCAUAACUCAAUUUAAUUGACUACACACUGAUUCGUCGCUUAAUUGACAGUAACGUAGCAGUGUUAUGAUUGAUAACGUAAUAAUAAUUAAGAUGACACAUCACUACCACUCUCAUAUCAGCCAUAUAUCAGCAUCGAGUUGUCUACUGAGGGGUCGUUUGGUUGCAUGUAGUUGCAAAUGCACUGCAGUUGUAACUGCAUGUAAAUACAAAUACGAUAUAUAUAUAUAUAUAUUUGAUUAAACAGGGACAAAUACGAUAUUUGGUUUGAUAUAUUUAACUCCAACUAAUGCAAUAGGAAUUGCAGGAAGAGGCCCAACUGCAGCAAUUGGAACCAAGCUCAAAUUGACUGUAGUUCUAACUGCAGCAGUUAGAGAAAGUAACUUUAAAUAAAAGAUAAGCUUACAUCCCUAAUUAUUUUUUAAACAAAAAAUAAAAUUUUUUUAUAUUAGAGGUAAUUUCAUCAUCAUAUAUAUAAAAUGAUAAAAUUUUAAAAAUUAUUUCUCAACUACAUGCAAGUAAAUAAAUUAUUUAUAGUUAUAGCGCUUUCUAUUACAUCCAACCAAACAGGAUAUAUAUAGUUAUAAUUGUUGUAUUUUUAAUUGCAUGGUAUGAGCGUUAUAGGAAAGAAUUAAAUAGUAGUUGUAAUGACACACAAAUACAAAUAACUUUAAAAAGUUGAUAGAAAAAUUUAGGUAAUUAAAAUAUUACUUAUUUGGCUUUUUUAUUCAAUAAUUUUGUGAACGUGUUGUUUAGACGGUCGAUCUAAUAAUAAGAAAUAGCUCAAGAAUAGUCUCUCUAUUUCAGAAAUAAUCUUAGCACUUUACCUGACGCAUAUAAGAAGAUCGUGCGAAUCACGCUAUCAGCAUGAACACAAAUAGCAAAUGUAAAUCAAAAUACAAAUUGGCGAUUUUAAACUAUGAAUACCAUUUACUAGGAUUUGUACUCAGGAACCCAGUAGUCUUUAAAAUCAAGUAUUCUCUCCCUCUAUCUUAUCCAAUUAAUAUUCCAUCUCAAUCUCAAAAGGAGAAUCCUUAACCAUGACUCUCCAAAAUUACACACUAGUUAUUAUGAUUGGUUACCUUAUAAUACAUUUUAGAUAAGAGAGGAAUAAUAAUUUAUUAGAAAAACUUCAAAAAAACCCCAUGUGGUUUCACAUUUUUUCAUUUUAGUACCCUGUGAUUUAAAGUGUAUCAAGUUAGUACCCUGUGAUUUCUCACUUUAUCACUUUAGUACUCUGUGGUUUAAAAUGUAUCAAGUUAGUACUUUGUGGUUUUAUUUUUGUAUCAAGUUAGUACCCCGUGGUUUUAUUUUUGUAUCAAGUUAGUACUCCGUGGUUUUUAAACUAUAGGGUACUAAAGUGAUAAAGUGCGAAACCACAGGGUACUAAAGUGAUAAAGUGCGAAAUCACAUGGUACUAACUUGAUAUAUACUUUAAACCACAUGGUACUAAAGUGAAGAAGUAUAAAACCACAUGGUACUAACUUGAUACACUUUAAACCACAUAGUACUAAAAUAAAAAAAAAUGAAACCACAAGGGGGGUAUUUGAAGUUUUUCCUAAUUUAUUUAAAAGAAAAAUUUGAAGCGCAAAAAAGUUAUUUUUAAAAUUUUGUUUUGUAUUGUGAACCAAAUAUCUUGGAUGUAAGAAUUACAAGCAAUCGGCCGGCCACCCCAUUGUACACUAUUUUUAUUUAGGGGAAACUUCAAAAAACCCCCCGUGGCUUCCAACUUUUUCACUUUAAUACCCUAUGGUUUAAAGUGUAUCAAUUUGCCCCCCUGUGGUUUUGUUUUUAUCUUUUCUAUAGCUUUUCUCUUAAUAUUUUGUUAAAUUAUAUACAAAAAAAUAUCAGAUAUCCAUCUAGAUUUACCGAAUAUUUACUUUAGUAUCCUUUAAUUUUAAUUUUGUCACUGAUUUAAGAAAAAAAAUAAUAAAAUUGGUAAAAAAAAGAUAAAAUCAAAACCACAUGGGGCCAAAUUGAUACACUUUAAAUCAUAGAAUACUAAAGUGAGAAAACGCGAAACCACGGGGGGUUAUGAAGUUAUCCCUUUUAUUUAGGAAAUUUUUUUAAAAAGUAUCAAUACUACACGACGCAUAAGACUUUUCAUUUUCACUUUUUGAGAGGUUUUCGCAUCCGUGAUUUGAUAAGAUGUAUAUGUUUCAGUUGCGAGAUAAUAAUCUAUAUUAUUUCAAAAAAAAUAAUUUGAAGACAAUGUGUUAUUUAUUCUUAGAUAGUUAAUCAUAUUUAUCAUCUACCGAAUACCGCAUAUAAUGUAAAUAAAUAAAAAAAUACCAAAUAAAAAUAUUAAUACAUCCUAACAGAUUCUUGAUAACUUAUGUACCCCUAUAAAUUUUUUUUAAUUAUACAGGAACGUGGUAAUCAACUCCUAAUCAUCUCUCUUUGUUUUCUCCCUGGUUCAUACACUACCCAAAUAAAAUAAAAGUAAAUAAAAUUAAAUAAAACAAAUUAAAACAAAACCAAAUACUAUUCUCUCUUGGGGUUUUUGGACUACUAAGCUUCCAAAAUUUUUUAAUUUUAAUUUAUAAAAUUAAGUCUAAUGAAGAAUGAUUUAUCAUAUUUAAAAAAAAAAUGAUGGAUCAUUCAUUGUAUUUUAAAAAAGAUAAAUCGUUUAUCACUUUUAUCAAAUCUAUAUAUUUUUUGUAUCUGAACUUCAAAAUAUGUACAUUAUUGGCUCUAAAAAUAAUUUCAAAUUUUUUCAAAAAAUAAAUAAUUUAUUGCAUUUAGAAAGAGGUUGAUUAAUUCUGCCUAAUUUUUAUAAAUAAUUUUUUUAAAAUUUAUUUUUAUGGUUAUUACAAUUUUUUUUUUUAAGUCUAUUAAUAAAACAAAUUCUCUUCUCUCUCUUUUUUCUCUCUCUCUCUGGUGAUGUGCUUCCCUGGUGUGUGUUGUGUGGUGGAGGCAACAAUGACAAGGGCUAGCUUGUUCUGAGAUUCCAAGAUGCAAAGUUUCUCUCUCUCUCUCUCUCUCUCUCUCUCUCUCUCUCUCUCUCUCUCUCUUUUAGCAUUUGGAGGUGAUGAUCUUUAUGUGUCAUGUCCUUCUCCAACACCACCUUUUUAUUUCUAAUUUGUUAUAUUUGUUGUUGUUGUUGUUGUUAUUAUUAUCAAUUAUUAUGCUUUUUGUAUUCCUUUUUAUUAGUUUUUCCUAACUCUCUGUCAAUAAUUUCACCAGUUUCUGUAAAAAAGUAAAAAAAAAAAAAAGAAAAAAGAAGAAAUUUCACUUUGUACAUUGAAAUAAAGUUUCAAUUUUUAUGGUUUUUCUCUUGGCUUUUAAGAUAUAACCCAUGUUGGUUUUUUUUUUAAUAUAGUUUUGACUUUGAAUCAUGCUCUUUUCUAUUUUGAUCCUGCUAAAAAGGAAACAUUUUUCCCAAUCUGCUGAUUAAAUCCCCCAUUCCUGUAAUUUCUUUCUUAAAAAAUAAUUCAAGUUUCUAAUUUCUUUGAUUUUUUUUUUUUUUUAACAAAAAAUACAUCUUUCAAAGGAUGGCAAAAAGUGGAUUCUUUUGUUCUUAGUUUGACUCAAAAUUAUCUGAUCUUUUUUUCUCUCUUUUUUUCUGCAUAAAUUUCUCAGAUUCUGACACAUAUGGAAAAGGGUCCAAUAUCCAAGCCCCAUGCUCCAUUUGGGCUUUUGUCCUCUUUGCCCUAAUCUUCUUCUUUUACUUUGUCUCCUCCCUCUUCACACCCUCUUCUGUGUUUGGCUGUAGGACCCCACCAGGAAAAGCCCACUCCAGGUUGGUGAAACCCCCAAAGAAGCUCCCUUCUGCAUUCAUAUCUUUUUAUUUCUUCUUUUGUUUCCAUGCAUGUGUUUUAUAUUUCCAUUUUUUUGUAACACAUCACUUGUUUUUAGUGGUUCUAGAGUUGGCCCACUUUGUCACAAAUCUCCUUUUCCUAAUCCAUAUUCACCAAUUCCUUGAUGCUCUAACCCUAUUCAGGAUAAGAGGAAGCUGCUGCUGCUGCUGCUGCUGCUUCUUCUUGAAGUGCUUUUCUAGUGGAAUAAAAUACCCAUUAUUUGUGCCUCUUGUAUAUCAAUCUUGUUCUUUCGCAGUUUCGCCUAAAUAAGAUUGUUCUCCUAUAUCCAUCUUAGGUAUAAAAGGAUGAGUUGAGAUAUAUAGAUGAUGCAUUUUAUUCUUAUCUUGCGCGUUAAGCCGUCGCGGAAUAUGGCGCGCAACUAGUCGCGUAUUCGCCACCCUUUAUCCGCUUUGAAAUAGAUAGUAGUUGUUGUUGUAUGACCACUUGCUCUUCUGAAUUCCUCGUUGUCGCCGUCUCUUCUCUCGUUCGAAGCGUAAUCCGAUUACGUUGCGCCCGUAAAUGAACACCAAGAGGGUCGCGUUCUCUGAUCGCAACUAUGGAUCGUUAAACGAUUCUUCUCAUGGAACUCUCAAUCCUAAGCAUUGUUAUGCUUAUUAUACUCCUCAGCAGUGUAAUCCAAACUCGUUUAGUUCACUGCUGCCUACGACUGGUUCAAACUGCGUUGGAUCGACGCCUGCCGCGUUUUAUGCCGCGGAGCAGCUUUUGGGUAUUCCUCAAUUUGAGUACCAAAUCGGGGAUGUUCCGCCACCCUGUAGAUUGCCGAGGAGAUCUUCGGAAAGUGGUUUGAGUCGGCGUCCUGAUGCGUACUUUUGCAAUAACUCGGUGAAAAAUUAUGAUCACGGUCUUCAUGCAACCAACGAGUUAUUAUCGGUCGUGAAGUUCCCCUUUCAAGAAAGUAGGAAUUCGAGGGCUCUCGGUAAUUUUGAUGGAUUUUUAUGUAGAAGUCGUCCGGAGGAUGAGCUUCAGCCGAUUCUGCACCGACAGGAAGCGAGUCGUAAUACUACUGUAAGUCUUUGUUUUUCUGCUUUUGUGAUCAAGAAAGGAAGCGACUUUUCACGAAUUGCGAAAUCAUCUCACAAUUCUAUUUGUUUGUUUUCGUUUCUCAUGAGAAGGUUGGAUGCAACGCGUCGAGCUCUUUGGCGGAGAAGCCUAACCAACUAGUGACGAACUCAGCGGGUAGUUCUUCGAAUGUUCCGUCGAAUUUGACCGUCCAAAACAAAACGAGGAUUAGGUGGACACAGGACCUCCACGAGCGGUUCGUCGAAUGCGUAAAUCGACUAGGCGGUGCCGAGAGUACGUUAUUUUCGUGUUUCUUUUUGUUACUGAAACUUUUUAAUUUGUCUCUUAUUGUAAAAGGCAAAUACAGUAAGUAACUAUUCUGAUAUAUUAUUCGCUGAUGAUACUCAGAGGCGACACCGAAGGGGAUUUUGAACCUGAUGAAGUACGAAGGUUUAACCAUAUAUCACAUAAAGAGCCAUUUGCAGGUAUAUCUAUUUAUAUAUUUACGGAUUAUUUAAUUUACCCGCUGCAGGUUACUGAAAAUAGAUGUUUAUUUUGCGUUGCAGAAGUACCGCAUUGCGAAGAACAUACCGGAACAGACAGAAGGUAAAUGUUUCUUGAUUCCUUGAAAAUCGCACCGUGUUCGGAAAAUUACUUUUACGGAAUCUUAUAUCUUCCUUUUAAGUCGAAUAAAAUGAAAGAAUAGUAUAGUUGGUGAAUAGACUCGAGGAAUAUGCCUAGUUAUAGUACACUUGGAACUCUCUAGUAUGAUGCUCGUUGGCAACAAUGAAAACCGACCUUUGACGCAGUAGGAAUUUGUGAAUUCAGAAUAAUUCGUAAUUUGGACUCGUGAUAAAAAGGAAUAAUCACUAUACUUUUUCGUGACUUAUGGAGCAUAAAUCAAGGUUUGAAAUAUCGGUCUCAGUAUCGUAGUAUCCGAGCUCCUAGAGUUUCGGUUCCGGCAGUUUCCAGUUCCAGUUUGAAGUGUUGGUUGAAAAGUCUCCUAGCUUUUUGAAAAGAUGAAAAAUAAACAUAUUGAAUUCGAACAAUCACAAUACGAAUGAGUUCACAGAAUUAAAGCGCUAUCAUGUGCUAGUCUUGUGAAGAACGUAGUUGAACCUUUUUGGGGCGUUCGAAAUUGAAAUUUGUCGAUUUUUUCUAUUUGAUUUUAGAUCUCUGAAAUUGAAAUUUAUUACUUCUCGGAAGUUAAUCCAAUUUCAUUCCUUUCCGAUUUUUUUAAAAAUUUUCUGUGGAUGUUGCAGGGAGAAAUGACAGAAGAACUGUCGACGACAUACAACAGCUUGACCCGAAAACGUAAAUCCUGUAGCUAGAAAAGCAAAAUCUAUUUCGAAGCAUCUUUAACAAUCAUGUAUUUGGCGACUAAUCGAAUUACCUUUUAUGUUACUGUUGUUGUGUGUAGUGGCGUCGAUAUCACUGAAGCUUUGCGGAUUCAGUUAGAUGUUCAGAGGCAGCUUCAUGAGCAACUUGAGGUACGGAUUUUCUUUUAUUUCUAACGCGUCUUCACAUAUGUAACUAUCGCUACAACUGUGAAAUCCGAAUUUUCAUAAAAACCAUUAUCUUAAGCUCGGGAAUCAUCCAAUUUGCGUUAAGUCAAUAUUUCUGAUUUUUUUUUUUUGUACCGUUUCAUAUGUCAGGUUCAGCGAGAGCUGCAGCUGAGGAUAGAAGCGCAAGGAAGGAAGCUUCAGCAGAUGUUCGAGCAGCAAAUGAAAACAAGCAGGGACAUCGUCGAGAACCAAAACUACGACAUGCUUUUCCCCGACGAUGCACAAGUAACGCUCGACGACGCUCAAAUAUCGGUUCUCGGCGGCGGCAGUUCUGAGAACAGCGAUUUCAUGUCGAAAAUCGAUUAGGCUUUUGAUGCUUGCGGAAAGUCCACAGUUUACGGAAAAUUAAUGGGCUUUGUGUGCAUAGAAAGUACCAGUUGCUAGCUCUUUUGAUCUUUUCAGGUGUAAUUAUUUAUGUGUCGAGUGCAAUUGAAUUCAAGAUAUGAGAAAGAAUAAUAUCCAUGUUCUGUCAAAACACUUCGGGCCGGUUUAGAUGUCGACGGAGUUACCGCGCCCUGCGAGGGUUUUCUUUUGUGAUUGCAAUUUAGAAGCUUAAUUCUGGUCCAUUGAGGUUCUCGCAAUCUGCAACUAUGAGAUGAUUUAUCAUAUUUUUGUGUUUUACACUGAUGCUGAAAUCUCUGCGCUUCACGUAGUUGUCUUAGUUAUGACUAGGGUCGUCAACAAGUCAAACACGAGCUAGCUUGUUAAAAUAUCGAGCUGAAAAAUUCAGCAUGUGUUUUCGGCUCGUUUAUUAAGGAGCUGAACACGAGUCGGCUCGUGAACAAUAAGUUAGAUUGUCGGUCCUACUACCUGAUAAAAAGUUGAAAGAAAAUUAGAAAUUUAGAAGCUAAAUUUAAUAAUUAAAAUUUACAAAAUAUAUUGGCCUAAAAUUUAAAUAGUAAAAAUUUGUACUAUAUUGAGCUGAACGCGAGUCGAGUUGACCCUAGCUUGUGUUAAGCUCGUUGAGAUUUUGAGUUAAAAAAAUUCGCUCAUUUUUGAGUUUAACAUGAGCUGGUUCACGAGCAAUGAGUUGGAUUGCCGGUAACGACUAAUGUGAAGGUUUUGUUGUCUCAUUUGAGUUUCUGGAGAAGAGCUACACUGUGUGGAAACGUUUGAAAAGUGUUAAAAGUAUUAUUAUGAUCGGAUUUCUGCAAAUCUACUUAAAUGGUUCAUUGUUUUAAUUAAAACAAAUUAAAUUUAGAGAGAUUACACAGUGUGAUUUUAAUAACUCUGCCGACCUGUUGAAUCAGCUGUCAUAUAUGAUUAAAUGCCAAGACCUUUCAAGAAACAGAAAUCAAACUCUAAAUUUUUAAUCACACACACAAAAAAAAAAAUCCCCAACGAGAAAGCCUGGUAAAUCGGGACGCUGAUAUUAAUAGCUCUAAAAUUACUAAUGAUAGAUACAUACAUUGAAUUUAACCAUAACUGAUAAGUGACUAGAUUCAACAAAUAUAUGAUAUAGGCAACGUAAAAAUGUGAUAAGUUUCAAGUUGAAUGUUGACGGUUACAAUUUCCGUCACAGUGCGACAGUUGCGUUCCGCACGUGUCCUUCAACUGUCUCGGCACGUGUCAUGCACGUGCUCGUGGCUGGGAAACGCGUUUCCCGCGUUCUGUAAAUGUCAAUAAAACCACCCCAUUUUUUGUUCGCUUUGGAUUGGAAAAUUUAAAAAAUCAACAAAAAUCGAAAAAAAUUCGAAGAAUAUAUCAUAUCGUUGGCCCUAAUCAUUCAUCGCAAAAGUUCGAACGGUUAGAAAUAUGCAAUCAAUUCACUUAAGGCGUAUAUAUAAAGCGCCUACGGAUCUCGAUUGUGACUCGGCCCACCCAAUCUUACGUCAUUUCGAAUGUGACUCGGCCCAAUCUGGCUUCAUGCCAUUUCAAACGUGACUCGGCUCACUUGGCCUCUCGCCACAGGACAGGAUGCUGGCCAUUUAAGCCAACAAAGUAUUUUCUUUUAAUGACGUGUAUAAGUAUGUGUAAAUAUAUAUAUAUUGUUAUAUUUAUCUAGAAUAUAAAUAUAUAACACAAAGCUACCAAUUAAUACACCAACAACAAUUUAUUAAAAAAUGGACUUCAUAAAACCAAAUUUGAAAAAAGUUAACUAAUAGACUAUAUUAACUAUCUUUGAACAUUCAAAAACCAAGCCAAAAUUUUUGAUUUGAUUCAGUUUGGUUUUCCACAAACUUGAUAAAUCCAAAUUUGGAUUGAGUAUAAAAUUAAUUUUUUCAACUUUUUUAUUUAAAUUAGGCUUAUUUAUAGGUAAGGCAGGCUUAAAUUGAAGGUAUGCUAAAAUAAAAAGAGAAAGAUAGUCGGGGAGGUAAUUGAAGAGGUAAUUUUAUAUAUUUUUUUUGAAGUCUAUAAGGGGACACCAAACGAAUAAAAAGUGGAAUUAUGUGACACUAAAAUUGAAAUAAUGAUCAAAUUAGUUUUUUAAUUGUUUUGUUAUUGUUUUUCUCUUUGGUAUCCUAUAAUUGACAUCUCAUGAGAUUAUUUUUUUCCGAUUUAGUGUCCCACCAUAUAUACAUCACCACCCACGCCAAGCCAAACUAAGCCCAAUGUUCUAUUUAACUUUGACUUGACUAGUGUAAACUAAACUCUUUUAGUUUUAAUUUUGGUUUGGUUAUAUAUAUUAUUAGUUUGACUUGGCUUGGUUGGAGAAUAACAUACACCAAAGACAAACCAAACAGCUAAAAAAACUUGUUCAUCUAUAAAUUCCUAUUAAACAUAUCAAAUAACCCAAAAAAAAANUAUAUAUAUAUAUAUAUAUAUAUAUAUAUAUAUAUAUAGCUAGGCUCCAAUGCUUUUGAAAGUAUGGAAACCUCCGUGUUUGUGAGUUAUUUUCGAUGAUAGAACAUCCAAUUCGAUGAUCGGUUCCGUUAGACAUGAUCUAUGCUAUUGGAGUUAUUUAGGAACCAAACUUUAUAAUUUUUUGACUUUAUUCGCCUAAUGAAUGAAUAGUCUCAAAAUGAACAGCUAAAAAUAAUCUUAUAAAACAUAAUGAUAAAAGGCUUAAAUUUCAACUUAGAAGUAUUGAUCUUUCUAUUGAUGUUAAGUAUAAUUUUUUUAUUAAAGUUUCAUAUUAUUUGGAUUGUUCUGCACCGUUGAACUUAAUAACAUGCCACAUCGACAGUUAAAAUAGUCAUUUUUGAGAUCUUUUGAUCACUUGGUAAAUGAUAUCGAAAAAUUAUGAAACUUAGUUUCUAGAUAGUUCCAAUAGCGUAGAUUAUACCUAAUGGAGCUGAUCGUCGAAUCGGUUGUCCUAUCACUGAAAACAACUUAAAAGCACGGAGACCUCCGUACUUUCAAAAGUACAGGAGACAUAUUAAGCUAUAUUGAGUUAGACGCGAGCGAGCUGACCCGGCUCGUUAAAAUUCGAGCCAAAUAAUUCAGCUCGUUCUCUCAAAAAAAAAAAAAAAAAUUCAGCUCGUUCGGCUCGUUUUAUUUAAACGCAUGAUUGAUCUCGUCGAGUCGAACACGAGAGGGCUCACAAACACCAAAUUGGAUUGCGAGCCCUAUCUCGUGAGAUAGUAUAUUUGUUUACUUUACUACUCUAUGGUUUAAAAGUUAUAUUUAAUUCUCUUUGUGAUUUUACCUUUAUUUCAUUGCGAGCAACUCUUAUUAAACACACAAGAUGCCGUUGCGUGACUGUCAAAAAAUUUUACUUUACAACCCUAUUUCGCGAUAAGUUCUUCCUUCGAAACAAAAUAAAAUCACAAGAUAGUUAAGCAUAAUUUUUUGAACUAUAGGGUGGUAAGUGAAAAAUGGUCUAUACCAAGAGCAAUCCUUGAGAGGCCUAUUCCAGAAGAUCCUAUAAUUGAGGGGGUCUCAUGCGUAUUUACAGCUCGAUAUUUCCCUCUUCUCGCGCAGGUCGUUUCCCAUGCGCCAUUUGGCACAAAACCCCCCCAAUUUCCUUUUUAUUUCUUUUAACUCCAUUUCCAUUUUAAAACCCAUUUUUUUGAGUUUCUCCCCCACUAAUUCUCUCUCUCUCUCUCUCUCUCUCUCUCUCUCUCUCUCUCUCUACACACUCUACUCCUCUAAUUUUUUUUUUAAAAAACAUUUAUUCGACAAAUUUUAGCUCCUAGUGAGUUCUCGAUCCCUUUCUCUUUAUUAAUUCUAUUUUUUUUUCCUUUUUUAAACUACAAAAUCCCCCGAAUUAUUCUUGUGUUUUUCCCCCGUAAUUUUCUAAUUAAUUUCUGUAAUUACUCAGCGCCAUGGGAGCCGCGUUUCCCCAAUUCCUCGCCGUUUCCCUCGCGGGAAACGUCCUCUUCGUCUUCGCCCUCCUCGCCUCGGCGUUGACCGAUCCCCUCGACGGUAAUUUCCUCGAACUCCGGGGUCAAAUCCUUUUACUAAUUAUUAUUAUUUUUUUGUAAUUUUCUUUUCUCACGUCGCCCGUUCGAUCUUGAUCCGACGGAUCUGAUCGACCCCAAUCUUUUUUCCUUUUUUUUUUUUGGUAUUUCAAAUUCUCUAACGGCUACUAACCGCUUCUUCUUCUUCUUCUUCUUCUUCUUCUUCUUCUGCAGUUGCAUCUCUCGAGGGUUUGUACGGAUCGCUCAACACGCCAAUGGCGCUCGCUGGGUGGCGAAUCGGAGGCGGCGAUCCGUGCGGCGGGGAGCCGUGGAUCGGGGUCUCUUGCUCCGGGCCCUCCGUUGUUUCCAUGUAAUCCCCAAAUUUUCCCCAAUUUUUUUCUGUAAUUUUUGACCCAUUUUUCGGUUUGUUUCUUAAAGAUUUGAAAAAGAUGCUAAUUUGGGGUUAUUUUUUGUGCGUGGUUUGAUUCAGAAAUAUUAGUGGGUUGGGAAUCGGUGGGUUCUUGAAUCAACAGCUCUCCAACCUCCUCUCUUUGAAAGAAUUGUGAGUAUAUGUAGUUUCCGACUCUUAAGAUCACAAAUUUUGGUGGGUUAUUGAGGGAUUUAAUUGAUGGUUUUUUGUGGUUUUGAUCAAAGGGAUGUGAGUAAUAAUACCAUUGGUGUUGAGAUUCCGUAUGGUUUGCCCCCUAAUGUGACUCGCAUGUAUGCGCCUCUUAGCUGUUCGAUAUAAUUCCCCUGAGAAAUUUGUCUUGGGUUUUAAAGAUGGGCAUUUGAUGGGGUGUUUGUGGUAUUGAAAAUGUCGGAAAUGUAGAAACUUGGCGGCGAAUAAGUUCGAGGGGAGCAUCCCGCUGUCGUUGUCCUCGCUGAAGUUUCUCAAGCAUUUGUGAGUUUUUGUAGAAUUACAGGUUUAAAUUUUCUAAGAAGAGGUUGAGUUUUUGAAGGGAUUAAUAGUAAUUUUCGAUAUCUUGUAGGAAUUUCAGCUAUAAUAAUCUCCUCGGACCAAUCGGCAAUGCUUUUACGGACAUGCAGAGUCUAGAAACAUUGUAUUAUACUCAAGCUUUAUCCCUCUCCUCCCUCCUCCCCCCCUCUCUCUCUCUCUUAAUAUUUCUCCCAUAUAUCUCUAUGUCUUCUGUUAAAUGUGUUCGAGAAGUAAAUGUUAACAUGUGGUUUCUAUGUAGUUCAAUUUUAUGGUCAGAAAAAAAGGUUAAUUUGCUUUUUGAUCUUUCCUGAUUGCUUAGGUGUGUUUGAUUACUGGUAAAAGUAGGCGAAAAAUUGUAUUGGGGACCAAAAACAGUUUUCAAUCUGUUUGGUUUGUUGUAAAAUUUUUUUCGCAUAGAACAAUUUUACGAAUUUUGGGGAAACGCAAGCUUUUCGUUUUCUGAGUGAAAGCUGCGGAAAACAAAAAGUUGUGCUCACAAAAAAUGCGGUGUAUGAGUCCAUCUGUGGAAAGUUCAUGCGGUCACAAGUGAGCGUGUGCAAUCCGGUGGACGUGUGAGUUGCCCAAGCAGAGGGACAUGCACUAUUUUCAUUAUUAUACAAAUUUAUAUAAAUAUAUAUAGAUGAGAGAGGAAAGGGUGAAAUUAUAUAUAUUUUAUAUUUUUAUUAUAUAGUAUUAUAUAAAUAUUAUUGUAUAUAUAUUAUAUUAUAUACAUCAAUUUAUAUAAUAUAAGUUUUAUAUAUUUAAUUUACAAAUAUAAGUUAUUAUAAUAAUAUAUGUAGUAUAAUAAUUAUUAUAUAUCAAUAAUAUAUAAUAUAUAAAAUAAGAGAAAAUACAUAUAAUAGUUUUUAAUUUAUCUUUUCAUUUCUUUUCCUUUCAAGUUUCAACCAAACGACCGUGACGGAAAACUAUUUUUUUUUUCCUACAAACCAAACACUAAAGUACGUAAAAUUGAUUUUCCUCCGAAAUUUUUUUUUCCACCGAAAAUUAUUUUUCACAGUUUUACGUUGAACCAAACAGCCCCUUAGUGAUUUUGUUGUUUUCCUGUUCCUAGCCAUUUUGUCUCUUGACAUGGAUGUUGGAAUUUCAGGGACUUGUCAUUCAAUCACUUCACUGGCGAUCUGCCGACCUCAUUUGGCUCGUUGACGCAUCUUCAUUCUCUGUAUGCAUAAAUAACCUGCAUUUUUUUGAUGAAUGUGAAUAUAAUAACCUGCAUUUUUUUGAUGAAUGUGAAUAUAAGAGUCUUACAAUGUUUUGCUUCUAACCUCUUUUGUUUUUGCAGUUAUCUACAAGGCAAUGAAUUCACUGGCUCUGUGAUUCUACUAGCAAAUCUACCACUAUCCAUUCUGUAAGCAACAUGUACUAAACAGUGGAAUCUUUCUCUCAUUAAUGUAUAUUCGUGCUAAUAAAUUUUGUGUUUUUGUUUCCUCCAGUAACCUUGAAAAUAAUCACUUCAGUGGUUAUAUCCCAAAGCAGCUUGAGUUCACUCCUCAACUGAGGUAUCUCUUUUUAUUUCUUUGUAUUAUACUUCUUUUUUUUUUUUCUUUCAUUAAAGCUUUACAAUUUUAUACUUAAUCUUGUUCUCUUUUUUGACUAUUCAGGAUCGACGGAAACCUCUUUCAACAGAGUAUUAAUGGGAGCACUCACUCCCCUUUAUCAUCGACAGACAAUAAUGUCAGCCACAGCCCUAGGGUUUCUCAAGUUUCUUUCAGCUAUCCUUCUAAGACUGUCCAUAACAAGCACCGGAAGAAGGUCGGAAUAGCUGUCAUGGUCGGUGUCGUGGGCAGUUUAUUUGUGAUUGCUGUAAUUUCUGCUAUCGUCUUCAUCAUUAACGCUCGCAGAUAUCAUAAAAACAACCCCUAUUGGUCUAAGAGCAGCAGCGAGUCUCUGUGCUCUCUUCCAAUUACAGCACCAGCAGGUAAUGCAAAUCUGAAGAACAUAUACGAUGUAGAUAGUAAUGUCUCAUGUUAGAAACUUUUCUUAUUUCUUCCCAAUGCGUGCUAUCAUUCUUAGAGAGCUCCAAAUAGUUGGCUUAGCUAUUGUUAUUUUGUUUGCUGUUGUUCAUAUUUUAUCUAUAAAGUUCUACAACUUCCAUGGAGUAGGAAAUAUCCCAGCGAUCUCCAAAAGAUCUCCAUUUUAAUGUUUCUGGCUAGUGCAAGUACUUUAGUGAAUAUAUAAUGCUCAUCUUUGGCUUCGUUUGCUGUAUGAAUUUUGUCAUGUCAUACUGCUUGUUUAUCUUAUCCUAACUCGGAAGUCACGUUCAGAAGUUGGACAUUUGUAUAUAUGCUCUCAUAAAAUCAUCUAUUGACAUACAUUUCCCGCAAAAUUUAUUAAUUGUAAUGACCACUUGUACAGUUGUACUUUACAAGAUAAGGAUAUUUUUAUAACAAAUAUGAAAAAUUCAGAUUUGAUAGGCAGUAUAUAUGUUUGCGGACAUGUGUUUAAGCAUCUCUUUUGUAAAAUAGGAAUCAGCUGUCCAUGAUUUAGAAGUUUGAUAAAUCACCAAAAUUUUCAUGACAAUUUUGUUCACUUCUUACAUGAACACUCAAGAAGUUGUGCUUCUACAUUUCAGAACCGAGAAUACACUUCGAAGAAUGCAUCUGGGAUGCUCCUUCAAUGACUGGUGUGCAGCCUCCUCCCUUGCUUCAUCAGAUAAAAUCCGAAAAGAUCUCCACAAGAAGAAGUUCCGUUAAGAGAUCGAAAAACCUGGUAACUGCGAAGCUGUACUCAGCUUCGGAAAUUUUAGCAGCUACGAAGAAUUACUGCUCAGAGGGCCUUAUCGGCAAGGGCUUGAUAGGUCGAGUUUACCGAGCUGAAUUUCCGGAUGGCCAGGUAUAAAUUUUUGCCCUUUCUCAAUCUCUUGGGGAAAGCUAAAUGGCCCUUUCAUGGACUCUCUCUUGAUUCUUUUUCCUUUUUGGUUUCUUUAAUUUCAACUGAACCGCUCAAAAGUUUGCAAUAUAACAAAGUGUUAGAUGUACCCCCUUAAAAGUUUGCAAUAAAACAAAUGCCACCCUAAAGUGCAUAUUCUUUAACAAUUCGCUUUAUAGAGGGUGGUUUUUAUGCAAUUUCAUACGCACAGUUUUAAGGGCAUUAUGAUGUUGACAAGGACAAUUUUCAGUAUUUCCGAUAUAUCUCGUGGGAAAAUAUGAUAUUUUCAACUUUUGAGGAGUACCAUAUCAUUUAUACCAUGCUUAUGUUCUAUUUAUGGUUUCCAAUGAAGUGAUUAAUACGGUGAUGUUAUACCUGAUUUGAUUCAUGGGUUUUAUCUUGAGCUUUCUCUCAGAUAUUGGCUGUCAAGAAGAUAGACAUGAUAGAGCUAACUUUAUACGAAGAAGACGAGUUUCUGGAUGUGAUCUGGAGUAUCUCACGUUUAAAGCAUCGGCACAUCUCUACACUUUUAGGCUAUUGCGUGGAGCAAGGACAACACGUUCUUGUGUAUGAAUAUGCCAAAAAUGGGUCUCUUGAUGAUGUUUUAUUUUCUCCCAUCAGUAAAUGCAAGGACCUUUCAUGGAAAGCCCGCCUGAGGAUCGCUCUUGGUGUUGCCUAUGCUCUUGAGUAUGUACAGAUUUUCCUCAGCUUGCAGGGUUCCUUUCUUAAUUUUCGCACCUUCGUCUCAUGGGUUUCAUCCAUUAAAAGAAAUAGGAUAACACGAACAAACAAUCUCUUCAUUGUCGUGAAAUUGAGACUCAGUCCCUUAACUUGUCACUAGCGUAAUUAGCCCCUGGUUACCAACAGCAUUCAUGCAAUGUAAUGAAUGUUGAAUGGCAAACAGUGGCAGGGAUGCAAUUGCAAAAUUAAUGAAAACUGCAGUGACUAACUUAUGCACAUAGAAUUUAGGGACCGAAUUGCCGUAUCAUGAAAAGAUUCAGGGACUCUCCUCUCCUCAUAUCUAACCCUAAGAAUACAUAUGCAAAUCUGACACUUUCAUCUGCCACAUAUUUGCACUCUUGGAUGCAUAAUAUAUGAGAAUGAUCUAAAAUAUUUAUUGCCAUUCUCUGAGAAACCGGUUUUUCUUCUAAAAUGGAAUCUUUUAUCAAAUUAUUGCAGAAAGAACAUUUAUUUGAGCAAGGAAAAGAGAUGCAUAUCAUGUUCUAGCUCUGUUUUUGAUAUGAUCCAUUUAUUCUUUUUAUUUUAAUACAGAUUUAUGCAUUGCAUAUGCUCCCCUCCGGUUGCCCAUGGAAAUGUUAAAGCGACCAAUAUAUUGCUGGACGACAAGCUUAUGCCGCAUAUUAGUGACUGUGGACUUACUGUGUUAACUCAUCUCGUUAGCGCUAAACAAAAGGUAAAUAAAUAGCAAGACGCUAAUUAUUACAUGAAUGUUCAAAAUAUAUGUGGAGUUUCCAACAUUUCAAUUAUGGUAUGGGUUUUAUGAACUGGUGAUUUGUUGGUCGUAUAAGUUUCUAUGAACUUAGUAAAAUUUCGUUUUUUUGAUAAUUUACCUUCGUUGACAUUUUGCGGGUGUAACACUGAAUUAAUCUUCUUAACUACCUGCAUGCAAAUCAAGGUGGUUGUAAUAUGGAAAGCAAUAACAAACAAGGUGGCUUCUGUUGUGCUAAAUCCAGCAUAUACUGAUUCAGAUAGCAUUUACUAAAAAGAAACAGCAAAUGUCGCUUACCGUAGUUCUCGUUGAUAAGCUAACUGUGUAUUUCUGUCUUGGCUGAAACAGGCAGCUGGAAAGCUUGUUGGUUCAAAAGGCUAUGCCGCGCCGGAGAUCGCUACUCCUGGAGUAGAUAAGAAAAAGAGUGAUGUUUACAGCUUUGGAGUAGUUCUGCUUGAGCUACUAACAGGCAGAAGAGCUUUUGACAGGCAGGCUGCAUCGAUCACGCUUCGUCGAUCAUAUAUGCUCGUUUUUGUUCUUUUCCUCUUUCUGAUAGCUUCUUGUUCUCCGUAUCUAAUCGAACUGAUUGUGUAACAGUUCAAGGGAGGAGGAGCAGCAGUUUUUGGUUAACUGGGCAUCUUUGCAUCUCCACGACCUCAGCUCGUUGGAAGGAAUAACCGACCCCCAAAUCCGAGGCAACAUUCCUUUGAGAGCCCUCUCCCGCUUUGCCGACAUCAUCUCACUUUGUAUUCAGGUAAUUCCAUUUUGAAACUUGUGACUAGCUAUAUUCUUUUUGGUUGUUUUGUGUGGGAUAGAAUAGAACCUCAUAAUAAGGGGGAAUUGGGUCACCAAUUUUGAGGCUGAAGAGGAGAAUAGGAGCGACAAAGAUGAUAGGGGUGUCUAACUUAGCGUAGGAAUCUACUGUAUAUACUAUUAGUUUCCAUUUGUUGGUUGGAGCUAAGGGCCUAAAAUCUAAGUUUAUGUUAGCUUAAUUGAAUCAAAGAUCUAAGUUUUCUUAUUGGCACUGAUAAGCAUGAAUUAAUAAACUUAAUUUGCAUUCUCAUAAUUUUAGUUUAGAGAUGACCACGGUUACCCUAUACUCUCUUCUUCAAGAAAGUAUGAUUUCCACAUGGCGUAACACGAGAAAAGGAUUGUUACAUGCUAUUGGGUCCAAACUACAUGCUAAGUAUAGUUAUCAUGUGCGAAAUAGUUCAAUCGCUAAUGCAAUGAAAGAAUAAAAACUGUUCGAUCCAAACCCACAGGCUUAAGCUUUUGCGGGUUUAAGUAGAUGUAUCAAAUUCUGCUUGAAGCAGUAUUUAGCUCACCUUUUCUCUCUUCAACAUCACAUUGUUAGGUAGAGACCUUUUACUUGCUCUAAUCACUGCGUAUUUUCGUUGCUGUGCCCUCCUAGAUUUUUAGUUGCUUUAAAUAAGAAUCUGGCAAUUGCAGCCGCUGCCCGAAUUCCGGUUGUCGAUAUCUGAGGUAACGGAAAGGCUGGUCCGUCUGGUUCGGAAGAUGGGUCAACACGACAGGCCGAGCACUGCGGACCAUUCCGACCCCGACGUUUCCAACUUCUCCUUCCGAACGACCCUCCCUUACUUUGACCCCUCGACUUCUCCUUCAUCUGCUUGAUGCUCUGCUCUUUCCGACUCAGAAAGCAGCAGUGAAACUGUACGACUGACGGAGUCAGACACCAAGAAUAGGUUUUUUCUGAGAAUCUCAUAGUAUGUUUCUCAUUCCAGUAAUGUUCAUAUCAUUCGGUUAGCUGUAAAUAUGGUGUAGAUUGCAACUUCGAGAUCUAGCACCUUGACCUUUCUUCUUUUUUUUAAUCUUUUUAUGCUACUCUUGUCGCGCCAAAACUCGUGAAAUCAACUGAAUUGAGAUUCGAGUUCGAUAUCUACCGUUUAUCACUGUUUUGGUAUUCGAGCACUGCACGUGAUGAACAAUGAAUUCGACCUUCAAAUAGGUAUUUUCUUCUCAUUUUGAUCUUAUUGAGAAAAUAUAUAUAAUAUAUAUCUUCCCCUCCUCCAUUAGCAUAAUUGUAGUAAUCCUUUUCUUUUAAUACGCGGUUAUUUCAUCAGUUUAAGAUUUAUACCUUAAAUUGUAUGCGUAAUGGAAGGUUUUUUUUUAUCGACUAACUCGCAAAUGUUCUUUUAUUUACUCAUCUAGUGUGAUAGCUCGACCAUUAAUUAAUACAUGCGCUAAAACAUUAAUUGGGUGCAUGAUUUGUUUGUUAUUUUUUGUUCAAAUGGUGAUGCUAUUUGGAACACCCAUCCCUGUCACUCCUGGUUUUGAGAAAGGCUUCAAGAGCUCAUACGGCACUAUUCCCACGCCGCACCUGUUCUUUAGCUUCGGAUCGGCGUUUCGCGCGUCGAUUAUCCCCUCGAUCUCCCUCAUCCUGCCGUUGAACCUCUCGAACGCUGCAUUCACCACCGCGUCGGCCGUCCAGGCCGGCUCUGGCUCCUGCCCGAGGUACUCCUCGUCCGGCGAGUGCGUCGACAGCACGUCCAGUACGGUCAUCAUGGCUGUCGCCUGGAUCUGCGAUGGGAAGCACUCCAGCAGUGCUGCCUCUGGUUUUCUCCAGAACCGCACGAAGUCCUCGAGGCUCGUGUCCUCGAUCGGCAUUUCCUUUCGCGUGAUGGUUGGCCGGUUGGGGAAGUAUCCGCUGAAGUGGUAUAGCCCGAAGUUGACAGCGGCAUGGUGGCCCGAGGUCACCCAGAUUAUGGUUGUGAGGACUUGGGUCAGUUCUGACGGCGACGCCACCGUCGGCCACCACGGCUCGUCCUUCUUGUCGGCGUGGCCCUUCGUUCGCACAUCCUCCCACCAGGCUUGGAGCUCGUGGUCCGCCAUCACGUCGGACGCCGUCGGGUAGUAGCGGUUGACGUAAUCGCCGACCCACUGUUGGAUUGAAGACCAUAUCAAUAGGCCAUCGUUCGCAAACGGGUAGUCUUUUAUCGUUAGCCUUAGGCCAUGCUCCGCCGUCGGAUCUUCCACUGCCAUUCCCCUGCAAAUUCAUUCAAGAACGCCAGUAUUAAGUUUUCGGAGAACAACGGCUGUCUAAUUCAUCGUCUUUGACCAUCAUAUAUACCUUCGGAUUAGGUCGGCCGGCAGGGCCUCCAUGUCGAACCGCCAAAGCUGGCCAUAGGCGAUCGCGCUAAACUCGAUGGAGUACUUCCCCAAGCUGAAGCAGGUUUCCAUGAUGCUGCCGGCGCUGAUGAGGGAUUGCCGCGCCAUUGCGUUGAUCUCCAUUGUGUACCGGAAGUGCGGGUGCAGCAGGCGGUAGAUCGGGUGCAUCGCGCUUAGCUGUCGGUUCGCCGCGAUUAUAUACGGCUCUGUGCAGCAGUGAGUUCUUAGCCUAUACAAAGAUCAUGAAGCAAAGAGACUACUUGAGUAUAUAUAUCAAAUGGUAUCAGAGCAGGAAGUCUCUAGUUUGAAUCUUUCUCGAUCAGAUCCUAUCUCAUUUAGUUUUUGCAAAUGUACGGGGCUCAAGAGAGAGAAAGAGAGAGAAAGAGACCAGUGGAUGACAAACUGGUGGUAGCAGGCAUCGGUGGCGCAGACGUGUACUUUGGCAAGCCUCCAAAGCCACGCACCCGUGGCGUCCCAGCAGCGGGUGAAGACUUGCCGCCAUUGAGGCUUUGUAUGGGAGGCUGGGCGGGUGAGUUCGAUGGCGAUCGGCAUCAACGCCUCAUCACUGGUGAGAAAGAAGACAGUGCGGGAGGCAUACAAAGUCAUGUCUUCCAGCUCGCGCACCUUAUGCACAUAUGGUAGUACCUGGUCGUGGUAGUCCAGUAUGAACAACCUCUUUUUCUUAAGGGCCUAAUAGAAAAUUCGUAGCAUUAAUUAAUAGAGAAAAAUCUAUUUUUACAGAGUAAAUGCAUUAAAUCUAAUCAUAUUGUUAAUAUAACUUCAGUAGUAAUUAAAUCGUCGACUAUUAAGGAAAAGUGCUUGUGCAAGAAUUAGAUUUAAUCACUACCUCCUCGACAGUCAUAACACCCAAAAUUUCUCUCUCUAUAAGUUUUGCAGUGAUAGCAGAUUCUGCUGGACCAUAAACCUCCGGAUCAAGUUUGCUGACAAAAGGAAACUCCUGCGUGAUUGUUAAAAUCGAUCAAUAUUAAUCAUCCAAUACAAAAAAAAAAAAAACUUACUCAAGAAAUUAGAAAAAUGUAUUAAGUGUAAUAUUUUCCACAUACUGUGACAAGUUGAAUACUAAAUGGAUUGACUCCUGCUAGAAUUUGCCUUGAGAACUCUUCAUCUCUGAGCCAUGCAAACUUGUCUCCUGCAGCAUUAAUGGUUGCGCAAGUUACUGGGUUGGUUAAAAAAAAAGAAGAAAAUUUAUGCGCAGGUGCUAUAAAUGGUCGUGCGUAGAAUUUAGUUGUAAGAUAAAGCAAUUACGAUCGAUCAUCUCUGGGGUCUCAAAGUGAAGAACAUUGUCGGUGCUGUCCUCGAGGGUCUUGAUGAUCCGCGGUAUUAUGGUGCGGAAGAAGCUAAGACCCUCUUGCUUAGGGAGUUUGACACCCUCAUUGAACAGUGAAUCGAUGGCUGUGAAGUAGGGGAAACUGAGCUUCGUGUCGUUGAUAGCCGUCUUGAUCGACGGGACCACUACAUUGAGUACAGAUCUAAAGGCCGUCCCCGAGAAUGUCAAUCCUUUAACCUCGGAGAAGGAUUCAUCCCUCGGGAUGUAUAUGCUGCUGCUUCGUUCUUCAGAAAGUGGGUCUGCAAGAAAAGGCAAAUAGCUGAGAUAUCGUACCCUAGGAUGUUUAUGUACACAAAUAGCUAUGUUAGCUAUGUAGUAUUUUGCAUUUACGACAUUCAUAUUUGAUCUAUCUAUCGCAUAUAUACCUUUCUUGGUUCUCGGGCGACCGGUGCGGCAUCGACGCGGAUAAGGGAACUCUUUGCUUCCGCCAAGGACGGGCCUCGCCAGAUCCUCGCUUUUGUCAGGAUCGCCGAGAUCAUUGUAUGUGUCGUAGUCGUAUAUCCUCUCGAAUGGCUUCCGUUCCCCUGUGCCAUCCCCUCGUAUGUUCGCCAGCUCUUUCUUUCUGAACCUCUCGAGCCCUGAUGGGGUUUGAGAAGGCAAGUAGGACUGCAUGCAUGCAAUAAGAGAAAGAGUUAGGGAGGGGGAGAGAGGGAUGUUCACUUUGAUAGUAAAUAAUUGUCAAAUUUAAAGAAGUUUGAGAAACAAAGUAAAUUGAACUUAGAGAGGAGAGAGAGGGGGGAAGAGAAAAGGAUAGUUGUUCACCUUGCUAGUAAAGAAUUGUCAACCUAAAAGUUAAAGAAAGUAAACUGAAUUGAGAGAGAGAGAGAGAAAGAAAGAGAUGUUCACCUUGCUAGAAAAGAGUUGUCAAACUUAAAUGUUCGAGAAACAAAGUAAACUGAAUUAAGAGAGAGAGAGAGAGAGAGAGAGAGAGAUGUUCACCUAAAGAACUAACAAAUUUAAAAGUUCGAGAAGCAAAAUAAUUUAAAUUGUGUGUGAGAGAGGGAGUCAUUCACUUUGCUAGUAAAGAAUUGUCAAACUUAAAAGUUCGAGGAACAAAAUAAUCUGAACUGAGAGAGAGAGAGAGAGAGAGAGAGAGAGAGAGAGAGUUGUUCACCUUGCUAGUAUAAAACGUCAAACUUAAAAGUUGGAGAAAUGAAGUAAACUGAAUUAAUUAAAUAGAGAGAUGCUAACCUUGCUAGUAAAGAAGACCCUUUUCUCAGGGUUAUCGAAUUUGGAGUGCACCCACGAUCUACAAUCGAUGGUGAGGGAGGUGGCAUUGUCGCCCGCAGGGGUGAGCACGAUGUUGUGGAGAUACAUCUCCUUGAGGUGCUCGUUCUCUACCACCACCGCGCCUACUUCUCCGAACGUCGAAGGGACUGAGAACUCGCCUUCGUACUUGACUUUGUCGCAAUGCUUGCUUGCUUUGUUAGUGUAGCCCGCUAUGGUCUCCUUCUCCAAUCCUGUUCCUGUUAAGUGAAACACGAUUAAUACUGUAAGGUAUUGGCUUUCCGAAGUGUCAUACCAACUUUGGUCAAAGUGAUCAAUGCAUGGUGAAGGGAGCGACUGGACAUAGUUCAUAUAUUGUCCUGAGGGCUUCGGAGUCAUUAGAAGUGACAUCGGAUGGUGUUUGAGUGUUUUUAGCAUUAUCCGGUGCUAAAACGGACUCAAGCAAUUAAAAAGCUGCAGAACUUGUGUUGGGUACAGGUACUGGAACUUGGUACCGGAACCCCAUGCAAGUUCAAAAAUGCUAGCUCUCGGUUUAAGAUACUGGGCCUGGGGUACCGAUACUGGAAGGUCAUGUAUCGGUGCUCUAUUGAAAGCUCAAAUAACCAAUGUUCGGGUUGAGGCACCUGGUUGGUGGUACCGGUACUAGAAGGUCGUGUACCGGUACUGGAGGCCGCGUACUGGUACUCUAUUAUAAACCCGAAAAUCCAACGUUCGGGUUGAGGUACCCGGUUGGGGGUACCGGUACUGGAGGACCCGAGUACUGAUACUCAAUUUCGAGUAUCGGUACUUAAUGCCGCGAGAUGCAAAAGCUGAACUGCCGCAAAUAGUAAUUCUUGGAGGGCUUAAGUGCAAUUGUGGGAACUUAUAAAAGGCCCCCAACUCCUCUCUUGUUCUCAUGCUGAGAACACUUCUCUCCCUCUCUUGAUUCUUCUUCCUCUCAUUCUCUCUCUAGAACCUCUCCAACAAGGUGGAUUUGGAGGAGUUUUGAAGGAUUGGAGCUCUUGAGGAGUGGAAGAAGCUCUAGAACAAGGUGGAGCUUGAGGUGUAGGAGAGGCCAAGGUAAGGUUUUGGCAAGUUUAAGUUAGGGCUUUUGUAACCCUAAGAUUCAUGUCCUUGGGAUUCUUGUAACUUAGAGACCUAGAAUAAUCCAUGAAUCCCCAUGGUAUUUAGUGUAUGACCAUUGUUUGUGAACCCUAGGGUUAUAAUUAGGAUUUUUGUGGUUAUGAGGUUUAUAAUGAAAUUAACCCCUUAGUUCCUUAAUUGAAGGGUAAAUCGACGUGUUGGGCAGCUUGAAUCGAAGUUCCUACGAGCCUACGACGUUCCAUUGAAAAAAAACAUCGAUUUGCCUUCGUUACCCUUGGGUCGAGUCAAAACGGUGUCGAUAAAUCGCGGGACUAGGUUUCUCGCCUUUUAGCAUCGAUAUAAGAUGGGUGGUACUAUCCGAAAUUGUUGAAUUUCUUCCUAUAUCUAUGUUAUUAUUGUUGGCCAUAUAUGUACAUGUAUAGAACUCAUGCAUUAUAGUGUUAGUAUGUUUUGGUGUAUUCAAUUCCUUGCAUGCUCUUAUGGUAAAAUUACAAAACAUGAAAUGGAAACCUAAAUGUUAGACGCAUAAGGAUUGGGUCAUGAACAUUGGAAACUCUAUAGUGCCAUGAGUCCAGUGUGAACUUAGACAACAUAGUGACGUGGAAUUGUGGCAUUUGGACUAGUGAUGAUGAUAACACUCAGACAUUAGAUGUUAGGGAUGGAUAGAUCCCUGAGUAUUGUUGCCCCUAGUUGGUAGGGUACUCUCAAGUUUAGAGGGUUAGAUUGUACUCACAUAGCGUCUGUCGGCUUGUUGGUGGUCGCUCUACCUCAAGCAGUGAGCUCCGAAGUAGUCACACUUGGGUUAACGUAGCUAUCCAGCAGACGGUCCUCGAUAGGUGUAGCGAGCGUCUCCGCAUCUAUGGGAUUGGUUAUGAGUUGGACUCAACCUUCGGGUUAGCCGGUAUGAUUGGGUUAUAAAGAUAUGAAUGACGUGCAUCAUGACUAUAAUGGUUUCUUUGCUCAUUAUAUCAUAUUGUUGAGGCAUAGUAGGAUGUUAGUACUCAUUACUUUUGCUCUCCUUUUCUACUUAUGCCUACUUAGACCUAGUGGAAAAGUCGGUGGGGUCGGCGGUCGAAUCCAUUGGAAACUUUUAGUUCUUACCCCAUUGUUUUGCAGAUCCCGGUCCUAGCGGAGCGGCCAAGGAUCGUGGCAAGGGCAUAGCGCCCUAGGUAGUGGCCCCUCCCUCCAUGCAUCAGAAUACCAUAUAUAUAUAUAUAAUUAGGCUGGAAUACUAUGAGUAGUAAAAUGCUCUUUUUGCUAUCAAGUUUUUAACCCUUGGAUGAAAAAUUGUAGGGUCAGGAUGAGAGUGGUCCCCCUAGGGUUGAGUGGUCCCCACUGGGUUAUAGUAUUUAAUCCAAUGGUUAGAAAUGAUGAAAAGAGUUGAUCCAAUGGCUAAAAAACUGGUAGCAACAAUGAAAUUUUGCUACUAAUAGUAGCCCAGUCCAACUCAUAUAUAU
rnacentral:lncRNA from 1 species